rnacentral:lncRNA from 1 species
AAGGAUAAAUUUGUAAAGUAACAUUUAACAAUUUUAAAAAAAAUUAAAAGUUCCUCACAACCAUAACAUCACUCACAAACUCGCAUAAACUUUUCUGACACAUCCACUCUAGCAUACUCCAAUCCAAACAACAUUACUUUCUUCUCACAUCUUCACACAUCCAAUGCCUCAAAUUCUCACACAUCCACUCCCCAAUCCAAACACACACUAAAAUUCUAAAAUAAUUCACAGUCCUUUCAAAUCUAUUUGAUUAUAGGUGGUCCAAAACUCAAGUGAACUUAUUCAUAUAGGUGUUCCAAAACUCGAGUUGUUACCACUUUGUUCAUAAUACAACAAUAAAAAAAAGUCCAUUUUGCUUUCAAGUAAUCAACACGCUGGGUUGAAAUCCAUGGACAGUAAAUCCUCCAUCAACAGAAAUAACCUGUCCAGUGAUGUAAGAAGCUGCUGGCAAGCAAAGGAAAGUCACCAAGGAUGACACUUCAUGUGCUUCUGCAAUUCGCUUUAUUGGCGUACGAAUCAUUAUCUCGUCAACAUAUUCUUUGAUUGCAAGCACCUGGUAGAUACAAGGUAACAAUUAGCAUGCUAACAUACUCACAUGUGCUCUCUCAAGAAUUUGAAUUUCGUACUAAAUUAAUCUAAAAAUAUUUUAUCUGAUAGACAGACACUCUUUUUAUCUGAAUACUCUUAUACUGCUGAAUAGACAAGUUAAAACAUAAAAGGAGCAUGAAUGUAAAACUUCAACAUAUCAGCUUAGAAUUUAUUUACUAAUGACCGACCAGUUCAAUGUGGAUAAAACUCAAUUUUAUUUCUCAAAAUAAUUAACCAAUCUUCAGAAAGAAAAGACAAUUAGUCUCUUGGAACAGAACAUAAACCGGGUGAAAGAGCAUUACAGAUUCCGCAAGUGAUGUUUUGGUAUACCAGGGUGCAACACUGUUGCUCCUAAUAUUGUCUUUCGCCCAUUCACAUGCAAGAUAUUUGGUAAUCUGAUCCAUUGCAGCUGAAGAAAACAGCACAAUGAUUCUAUUUCGUCAAUAUACUUCAAAAUAGUUUAUAAUCUGUGUUUGAGAUGACAUAAUUAUACAUCGACACACCUUUAGCUGCUGCAUAAAUGACUCCAGUACCUAGACUUGUCUGACCUGCAACGGAGGAAAUGGACACAAUACUUCCAUUUCCAGAUUCUUUCAGAAGAGGAUAUGCAAGUUGGCACAGAUGGUAUGCAGGGUCCAAGUUAGUUGCCAUCAAUUUUGAAUAUUCUUCGGUUGUAUACUCUAUUGUUGGCCUCCUCACAUUUGUUGCAACAUUGUUUACCUAAGCUCACAAGAUGAUCAUAGAAACAAAACUUAUUGUGUGCUGAAAUCUCGCCCACAAGAGAAACGAGUCUAGCUAUUUGAUUGAACAUUUUUAAUUUUAACAAUUUUAUGCUGAAAUGAUCACAAAAGGCAAAGUUAUACAUACUAUGUUUUCAAUUAACUAUAUUGUGCAGAUACAAAUGCUGCCUACAGGAUGGAUUUCAAGCAACAAUAAGAAAGUCUUAUUUAGGCAAAAUACAUAAAGAAAUUNNNNNNNNNNNNNNNNNNNNNNNNNNNNNNNNNNNNNNNNNNNNNNNNNNNNNNNNNNNNNNNNNNNNNNNNNNNNNNNNNNNNNNNNNNNNNNNNNNNNUGAGUGCAUGUAAGAGGAGAACAGGAUGAAGAACACACACUAACACAUUGAGUGUUUUACGAGGAUGUUAUUACAAUACACGAUACAGUAUUCAGCAAUACACAUCAUAUUGAAACUCCUGUUUGAAUUGAAAAACCUGAGAUCAUCUCUAACAAAUUCAGUAACUAAUAUCCCAAAAUAAGAGAGUCAUCAAUACAGCUGAAUACACGGGUUAUCCUGCUUCUAUCCUAAGCACAGGCAAAGCAGCUGGGUUGCAUCAUAAUACAUGACAGGGUAGGUACAGAAGCUCCAAAAUAUUUUGAAAUUUAGCACAAUAAACAAAUUAGUAAGUGGUACAUUCAUUCACUUAACACCGGUUUUCACAUUUUGACAGUAUAGUUUCUUGAUUUUAAAGGUCUUAUCUUGAGAUGUGUCAUUAUUGUCACAAACUCUAAGAUUGUAUUUAUGGUGCUGCAGUAAACAUUUCCUGCAUUCACACAUUUAGUUAAUCAGAAUCGUUGGAUGAAGAUGCAACAACUCAUACUUUUUCUUGCCAAAUCUAGUUUUAGGAUAUGUAUUUGAAAUGUGAACCAUUUGAUCUUCAUCCAACAGUUCCUUUUCAUGAAUGCCUGAAUGUUAGAGAUCGAUUUCAUGAAUUCAAUCAGUGAUGACUUUUUAUAAAGCUGAACACUUAGAUUAUCCUGCCUACUAUUCCAAUUUCUAAAUAUACAAACAAAAAGAAGAAGAAAGACUCACAAGUAUGUUGAGCAUGCCGUUGAAGGCAGAGGCCACUUCUUUGAUGAGAUUCUCUCUUUGGGCUGGAAAAGACACAUCACAAACCGACCCAGAAACCGAAAACCCCUUCUCUUUCCAUUCCUUUAAGCAUGCAUUCAGCUCCUCUUCAUUCCUGGAACAAGUGUACACAGUUGCACCAAACUCCGCCAGUUCCUCCACCACAGCAUGCCUGAAUCAAAAGUGAAACCCAAUCACACCCAUAAAAAAUAGCAUACAAAAAACGCAACUUCAAGUCGUUUUAACAAACCCCAGAAUCAAGAAAUAAAAAACAUAAAAAUAAAAAACAUCCGGAUCUAAAAACAUAAAAAUAAAAGUAAACAUCCAAAGUUAUAACCCUAAUUUAAUAAAAACAUAAAUUGUUCAAGUUUCUCACACAUGGAAACAAUUAGCCUCAUUGGCUUUUAUAAUAACAACGUAUAAUAAAAGAACUAUGAUGUGUGAUGAGAGCUUGUUAGAACACUUAAAUAUUAUUUUAUCCCCUUUCCGAAAAGAAUGUACUUGACACAUGUUCUUCCAAUCACGUCCAAUCUUCACACUUUUUGCAGGUAAAGGUUUCUAUGAAAACCUUGCAUUGAACAUCUUUUAUAAGCCCAUAAAGAACAAUUUUUUUGAAUCUGCCUCUACGAAUGUAUUUGGCAAAAUCCUCAGGUAGAUACUUCAAAAAAAUAAAACAAUGUGUAAAAAACUUAAUAUACAAAAUAAGGAUUGAAAUAUUAAAUAAGACAAAAGUAAAAUGUCACCAGAUAACUUGAUUGAGUCUGACGAAGAGAUAAAGUUACGAAGAAAUGUUGUUGAAAAGGACCAUUGGUGAGUGGUUCACGACGUUCAGCUUCAGCAAAAUGGACAGAUACCAUUAUUUGAGAAGCCGCUUCCAUGUAAACAUUAAUAUGAAAGCAGUUAUCACUAACGUAUCGGAAAUAUACGCGAUGUUCUCCUUUAAGAUCAUAAAAAUGACGUAAGUUCCCCCAUGCAUAGAUUAUUUCAGGAUUCAGCAAAUCCAUGUUGUACAUUACAACAUGGAUGUUCCCGUUAUUAUCUGCCAGCAGACAGUGGUCAUCAAGUUCAUUUUGAAAUUCAAUAGCAAAAGCGCAAUCCACAGUAUCUCUUUCUAUGUCUAGAAAAUAUAAAUAUAGUUUACUUUUUAUUUUAAAAAUAAAUAGAAAGGAUGUUUGUGAUAUGAAUCAUUGAAGAGAUAAUCAUAUCAUUUAAUCACUUUGUUUUUGUUUUUUAAUUUGUCAUCUAAGUAGGUUUUGUUCAAAACUUUAACAUGAUCCGAUUGGAUCUGCCUUUAGCAUUAUUUUUAUUUUUUAAAUUAUCAAAUAAAUAGUAAGAUAUGUUAAAUAUAACAAAAAAUAACUUUGAAUAUUAAUAUUUCCUUUAAAUAUCAUUAUAUAAUUAAUAAUAAUAUAACUCUUUACAUAUAUAUUACAUAAAAAAUAACAUUUUACAACUUUACAAAUAAAAAUUGUUGGAAGCUCUGCAUUUUGUUCACCAGAUGAAGUACAAUCAUGUUGCAACAUAUUAUUACAGGCAUUGAAUAUAUAUAAAUUUUUAAAAUACUAAAAUAACUCAUUCUCAUAGUUACUAUGAUUCAAGAUAGUCGUGAAAGACAUUAAAAUUCUAAAAUAAUUCACUGUCCUUUCAAAUCUAUUUGAUCAUAGGUGUUCCAAAGCUCAAGUGAACUUAUUCAUCAUAGGUGUUCCAAAGCUCGAGUGGUUACCACUUUGUUCAUAAUACAACAAUAAAAAAGUCCAUUUUGCUUUCAAGUAAUUCUCACGCUGGGUUGAAAUCCAUAGACAGUAAAUCCUCCAUCAACAGAAAUAACCUGUCCAGUGAUGUAAGAAGCUGCUGGCAAGCAAAGGAAA